rnacentral:rRNA from 1 species
AUUGAACGCUGGCGGCAGGCUUAACACAUGCAAGUCGAGCGGAGAUGAGGUGCUUGCACCUUAUCUUAGCGGCGGACGGGUGAGUAAUGCUUAGGAAUCUGCCUAUUAGUGGGGGACAACAUUCCGAAAGGAAUGCUAAUACCGCAUACGCCCUACGGGGGAAAGCAGGGGAUCUUCGGACCUUGCGCUAAUAGAUGAGCCUAAGUCGGAUUAGCUAGUUGGUGGGGUAAAGGCCUACCAAGGCGACGAUCUGUAGCGGGUCUGAGAGGAUGAUCCGCCACACUGGGACUAGGACACGGCCCAGACUCCUACGGGAGGCAGCAGUGGGGAAUAUUGGACAAUGGGCGGAAGCCUGAUCCAGCCAUGCCGCGUGUGUGAAGAAGGCCUUUUGGUUGUAAAGCACUUUAAGCGAGGAGGAGGCUACCUGGAUUAAUACUCUAGGAUAGUGGACGUUACUCGCAGAAUAAGCACCGGCUAACUCUGUGCCAGCCGCCGCCGGUAACAC